rnacentral:rRNA from 1 species
AGGGUGUAAACGCUGCAGACUUGGUGUUGGAGGCCCUUUGGGGGGCGAUUCAGUGCCGGAGAGAAGUUGUUAAGUCUGCUACUUGGGGAGUACGUCCGCAAGGAUGAAACUUAAAGGGAUUGGCGGGGGGAGGCACCGCAACGGGAGGAGCGUGCGGUUUAAUUGGAUUCAACACCGUAAAACUACACCAGGGAAGACUGUUACAUGAAGGCCGAGAUGAAGACUCUGCUAGAUUUUCAGAGAGGAGGUGCAUGGCGUCAGUGACU